AUUUAUUGUCCUUUCUUCCCACUGUGGCCAAUCAGCACAAUGAGGAGAUUCACACCUAUCAGACUGCACACAUAAGCUUUGUAUCUGCUUUGGCAAACAACUUCCAUGCGGGUUACCCUCUGGCCUAGAGAUGCACACACUAAUAACAUAGUGCUUGGAAGAACAAACAAGCAAGAGUUGCUUACAGAUACUGAAAGCAAGCUGAGAGAUACUUUGGUUUUCAAUAGAAAUUUUGCAACGUGGAGAGCAUAAUGAAGCAGCUGUUAACAGUUGCAGCUAAACAAAACACUUUAAACCAAAGACUCUCCUCCAAGGAACCUUGGAAACAUGAAGAGGGUUUUAUUCAAACUGGGAAUUUCCAGACUUUGAAGUCAACGUGAUAGUCUCUUCAAAGUACCAUAACAUUUCCUCAACUCACUGUCCAUGAUCAAACCUUCUAUUUAAAUCUCCUUGGAAGAAUGUAGCUACAGGAUCCAAGACCACAGAGACCCACAAAUGCGCUGGGUUUAGGAGCCUCAAAAGGCCACCAAGAGCUACAGAAUCACAGAGCAGAAAGAGAGCUUAGAAAGCCCUUGCUACUGGCAUUUUCUAAAACAAUAAAAGGGAGAGCUGACCACAUGGACCACGUCUUUCAGUGUCAUCAGAAGAGGAAUGACCUUGCUGCUUAUGAUCAGAAGGCUGGACUGAAACCGUGAUACCCAAUUAAUCUCUUCGGGGCCCUGAAACUUGUUUUUACUCACUGCCAUCUUGAAGUGGGUCUGGAAGAAAGUAGUUUGUAUGAUUUCAAAUCUACAGUAGUGUUCGCACUGAAAAUAUUCAUUUUAGAAAUGACAGUUUUAUAUAUCCUAAUAGGAAUUAAAUGUAAAUAAAUGACUCUAAUAUGUCUCAAAUCUAGGUAGACAGCCCAGUUUGAAAUUUGUCUAAUACAGAAG